UUGCCUACGGGACGCAGCAGUGGGGAAUAUUGCACAAUGGGGGAAACCCUGAUGCAGCGACGCCGCGUGAGUGAAGAAGUAUCUCGGUACGUAAAGCUCUAUCAGCAGGGAAGAAAAAAAGUCUUUGGCUUUGGACGGUACCUGACUAAGAAGCCCCGGCUAACUACGUGCCAGCAGCCGCGGUAAUACGUAGGGGGCAAGCGUUAUCCGGAUUUACUGGGGGUAAAGGGAGCGUAGACGGCAGCGCAAGUCUGGAGGGAAAUGCCGGGGCUCAACCCCGGAACUGCUUUGGGAACUGGGCAGCG
rnacentral:rRNA from 1 species